UAGUUCAGCACUUUCCACUGCUGGUUGACAGCCUGCCACCGUUUAAAGAUGCGGUACACCGAGGGUCCUUCAUGGAUGAUGAGACCUGAGGCAGCAGGGAGAGGAGAAACAGAGGCCAAAUGAGAGGAAGUGGGUCACGGCCAGGAGACCACAGUCUCUCUGAAUCUAUGCAAGGGUCUCUCUCUGUUGCCCAGGCUGGAGUGCAGUGGUGCGAUCAUGGCUCACUACAGCCUCGACCUCCUGGUUCAAGUGAUUCUCCCGCCUCAGCCUCCCAAGUAGCUGGGACUUCAGGCACACACCACCAUGCCUGGCUAAUUUCUGCAUUUUUUAUAGAUACAGGGUUUUGCCAUGUUGCAGACUGAUCUCAACUCCUGAACUCAAGCGAUCCUCUUGCCUCAGCCUCCCAAACCGCUGGGAUUACAGGCAUGAACCACUGAGCCCAGCUGCCUUUCACACUUCUACUGUGCAUUAGAAUCACCCAAAGAGCUUGUUAAGACAGAUUCCCAGGCUGCAAUCUUGGAGGCCUACUGGCUUAGUAGCUCUGGGCUGAGGCCUGAGAAUAUGCAUUCCUAAGAAACCUCAGGUGAGGCUGAUGCUGCCUGUGUGUGGACUGCUAGGCUAGGACAUGGUUUUUAUUCCUCAUAGAAGGUUCUAAAUUUUGAUCACAAAACUUAUUAUAAGUAAUUUUAAAAAGUAAUCUACUUCCAGAUGUCAUAGACAUGGAAAUGGGAAGAAACGGAAGAAAUAAAUACUUCCUCUCCUAGACCCAAAGACCUUUGUGCCC
rnacentral:lncRNA from 10 species